CUUAUGUAGUAUUGGUCUUGUCUUUGUAACUUUGUGGGUAUAAGGCAAGCUGUAUUAAAUUUAUUGCAGGUUCCAGUUGCACCAAGCAGGUGCACUCACCCUCAGGAUGCAAGCCACUCUCUUCAAGUCGCAUGGGGUGCUUUAUGAGGUCCCAGCUGCACCAAACAGGUGCAUGCACCAUUACAGAUUGCAAGCCGUUCUCUUUAAGCCACAUGGAAUGUUCCAUGAGGUCCCAGCAACAAAAAUUGCAAGCCGCUCUCUUCAAGCCGCGUGGAGUGC